UUCGACACACUAUCAUUAACUGAAUCCAUAGGUUAAUGAGGCGAACCGGGGGAACUGAAACAUCUAAGUACCCCGAGGAAAAGAAAUCAACCGAGAUUCCCCCAGUAGCGGCGAGCGAACGGGGAGCAGCCCAGAGCCUGAAUCAGUGUGUGUGUUAGUGGAAGCGUCUGGAAAGGCGCGCGAUACAGGGUGACAGCCCCGUACACAAAAAUGCACAUGCUGUGAGCUCGAUGAGUAGGGCGGGACACGUGGUAUCCUGUCUGAAUAUGGGGGGACCAUCCUCCAAGGCUAAAUACUCCUGACUGACCGAUAGUGAACCAGUACCGUGAGGGAAAGGCGAAAAGAACCCCGGCGAGGGGAGUGAAAAAGAACCUGAAACCGUGUACGUACAAGCAGUGGGAGCCUCUUUAUGGGGUGACUGCGUACCUUUUGUAUAAUGGGUCAGCGACUUAUAUUCUGUAGCAAGGUUAACCGAAUAGGGGAGCCGAAGGGAAACCGAGUCUUAACUGGGCGUUAAGUUGCAGGGUAUAGACCCGAAACCCGGUGAUCUAGCCAUGGGCAGGUUGAAGGUUGGGUAACACUAACUGGAGGACCGAACCGACUAAUGUUGAAAAAUUAGCGGAUGACUUGUGGCUGGGGGUGAAAGGCCAAUCAAACCGGGAGAUAGCUGGUUCUCCCCGAAAGCUAUUUAGGUAGCGCCUCGUGAAUUCAUCUCCGGGGGUAGAGCACUGUUUCGGCAAGGGGGUCAUCCCGACUUACCAACCCGAUGCAAACUGCGAAUACCGGAGAAUGUUAUCACGGGAGACACACGGCGGGUGCUAACGUCCGUCGUGAAGAGGGAAACAACCCAGACCGCCAGCUAAGGUCCCAAAGUCAUGGUUAAGUGGGAAACGAUGUGGGAAGGCCCAGACAGCCAGGAUGUUGGCUUAGAAGCAGCCAUCAUUUAAAGAAAGCGUAAUAGCUCACUGGUCGAGUCGGCCUGCGCGGAAGAUGUAACGGGGCUAAACCAUGCACCGAAGCUGCGGCAGCGACGCUUAUGCGUUGUUGGGUAGGGGAGCGUUCUGUAAGCCUGUGAAGGUGUGCUGUGAGGCAUGCUGGAGGUAUCAGAAGUGCGAAUGCUGACAUAAGUAACGAUAAAGCGGGUGAAAAGCCCGCUCGCCGGAAGACCAAGGGUUCCUGUCCAACGUUAAUCGGGGCAGGGUGAGUCGACCCCUAAGGCGAGGCCGAAAGGCGUAGUCGAUGGGAAACAGGUUAAUAUUCCUGUACUUGGUGUUACUGCGAAGGG
rnacentral:rRNA from 1 species